rnacentral:rRNA from 1 species
GAUGAACGCUAGCGAUAGGCUUAACACAUGCAAGUCGAGGGGCAGCACAAGGUAGCUUGCUAUCUGGGUGGCGACCGGCGCACGGGUGCGUAACGCGUAUGCAACUUGCCCUAUACAGGAGGAUAACCCGUCGAAAGACGGACUAAUACUGCGUAUGCUCACAACUUGGCAUCAAGUGGUGAGGAAAGAAAUUCGGUAUAGGAUAGGCAUGCGUCCCAUUAGCUUGUUGGUGAGGUAACGGCUCACCAAGGCAACGAUGGGUAGGGGAACUGAGAGGUUUAUCCCCCACACUGGUACUGAGACACGGGCCAGACUCCUACGGGAGGCAGCAGUGAGGAAUAUUGGUCAAUGGGCGCGAGCCUGAACCAGCCAAGUCGCGUGAAGGAUGACUGUCUUAUGGAUUGUAAACUUCUUUUAUACGGGAAUAACAAGAGUCACGUGUGACUCCCUGCAUGUACCGUAUGAAUAAGCAUCGGCUAACUCCGU